rnacentral:rRNA from 1 species
AUUGAACGCUGGCGGCAUGCCUUACACAUGCAAGUCGAACGGCAGCACGGGGCAACCUGGUGGCGAGUGGCGAACGGGUGAGUAAUGCAUCGGAACGUACCUUUCAGUGGGGGAUAACGUAGCGAAAGUUUCGCUAAUACCGCAUAUUCUGUGAGCAGGAAAGCAGGGGAUCGCAAGACCUUGCGCUGAUUGAGCGGCCGAUGGCAGAUUAGCUAGUUGGUGAGGUAAAGGCUCACCAAGGCGACGAUCUGUAGCGGGUCUGAGAGGAUGAGCCGCCACACUGGAACUGAGACACGGUCCAGACUCCGACGGGAGGCAGCAGUGGGGAAUGUUGGACAAUGGGGGCAACCCUGAUCCAGCCAUGCCGCGUGAGUGAAGAAGGCCUUCGGGUUGUAAAGCUCUUUCGGCCGGGAAGAAAUCGCACGGGCUAAUACCCUGUGUGGAUGACGGUACCGGAAUAAGAAGCACCGGCUAACUACGUGCCAGCAGCCGCAGUAAGAC